AAUGAACGCUGGCGGCAUGCCUAACACAUGCAAGUCGAACGAGAUCUUCGGRUCUAGUGGCGCACGGGUSCGUAACCCGUGGGAAUCUACCCUUGGGUCCGGAAUAACAGCGAGAAAUUGCUGCUAAUACCGGAUGAUGACGUAAGUCCAGAGAUUUAUCGCCCAGGGGAUGAGCCCACGUAGGAUUAGGUAGUUGGUGUGGUAAAGGCGCACCAAGCCUACGAUCCUUAGCUGGUCUGAGAGGAUGAUCAGCCACACUGGGACUGGGACACGGCCCAGACUCUACGGGAGGCAGCAGUGGGGAAUAUUGGACAAUGGGCGAAAGCCUGAUCCAGCAAUGCCGCGUGAGUGAUGAAGGCCUUAGGGUUGUAAAGCUCUUUUACCCGGGAUGAUAAUGACAGUACCGGGAGAAUAAGCUCCGGCUAACUCCGUGC
rnacentral:rRNA from 1 species